GUAGGGAAUAUUGCACAAUGGGGGAAACCCUGAUGCAGCGACGCCGCGUGAGUGAUGAAGGCCUUCGGGUCGUAAAGCUCUGUCGUAUGGGACUAACACAAUGAAGGUACCAUGCAAGAAAGGAUCGGCUAACUUCGUGCCAGCAGCCGCGGUAAGACGAGGGAUCCUAGCGUUGUUCGGAAUCAUUGGGCGUAGAGCGGGUGUAGGCGGAUUUAUAAGUCAGGUGUGAAAUCCCAGGGCUCAACCCUGGAAGUGCACUUGAUACUGUAAAUCUUGAGUGUGGUAGAGGUUACUGGAAUUGUUGGUGUAGUGGUGAAAUACGUAGAUAUCAACAGGAAUACCGGAGGCGAAGGCGAGUAACUGGGCCAACACUGACGCUGAGACCCGAAAGCGUGGGGAUCAAACAGGAUUAGAAACCCGGGUAGUCC
rnacentral:rRNA from 1 species